rnacentral:rRNA from 1 species
GACGAACGCUGGCGGCGUGCUUAACACAUGCAAGUCGAACGGAAAGGCCCUGCUUUUGUGGGGUGCUCGAGUGGCGAACGGGUGAGUAACACGUGAGUAACCUGCCCUUGACUUUGGGAUAACUUCAGGAAACUGGGGCUAAUACCGGAUAGGAGCUCCUGCUGCAUGGUGGGGGUUGGAAAGUGUCGGCGGUUGGGGAUGGACUCGCGGCUUAUCAGCUUGUUGGUGGGGUAGUGGCUUACCAAGGCUUUGACGGGUAGCCGGCCUGAGAGGGUGACCGGCCACAUUGGGACUGAGAUACGGCCCAGACUCCUACGGGGGGCAGCAGUGGGAAUAUUGCACAAUGGGCGGAAGCCUGAUGCAGCAACGUCGCGUGCGGGAUGACGGCCUUCGGGUUGUAAACCGCUUUCGCCUGUGACGAAGCGUGAGUGACGGUAAUGGGUAAAGAAGCACCGGCUAACUACGUG